UUUCGGGUGAAAUUUCACCCGCUCGACCCUUUCUUAUGACCUUUUCGACGCAUCUCCUCGUUUCACCCCUCUCCUCUCUCAGAGCCUCUUUUCUCUUGCUCAAUCCUUCCCCUCCUCUCUUGCUCGCUCUUUCCCCUUCGUCGCCUCUUCCCCUCUCCUCUCUUGCUCUCUCCUUCCCCUCCUCUCGCAGAGCCUCUCUUCUCUUGCUCUCUCCUUCGCCUCCUCUCUCGCUGACCUUUUCCCCUUCGUCGCCUCUUCCCCUCUCCAUCUCUCCAAGCUGAAAAAUUUGGGAAUAGGUGGCUUCCUAGAAUGGCCGCAUCGAUCAUCACUGCUGCCUACUAUUGCCUCCAUCACCGAUCUCGUUGAUGUUGGGAGCGAGAGGGCCAGGAGCAAGGCGAGCGCGUUACUCUCCAUCUUGGGCGUCCAGGAUAGCCUUCAUCCCCUCUCUGACGGGUCGAACUAUUAAUGAUUCUUUGUUGGAAAUCAAACUUUCAAUGACAACCAUGUCUUCAUUCCUAACCAAUUACAUGUUUACAAACUAUAGUGGUAGAUGCCGAAGCUUCAUUUCUUGGAAUAUUUUACUGUAUAUUUUUAUGGUGUGUCGUUAAUUUUCAUAUGACGAACGCGGAAGAUACAAUUAGGUAAAACAGAAGCUUAUUCAGAUCUGUUGGUGUUUAUAGCAGUAGAAUCAAUUCCUGUUUUCA